UACGGAGGGUGCUAGCGUCGUUCGGAAUUACUGGGCGUAAAGGGCGCGUAGGCGGCCGUUUGCGUCGGAUGUGAAAUCCCCAGGCUUAACCUGGGAACUGCAUUCGAGACUGCAUUGCUAGAGUAUGGGAGAGGGAAGUGGAAUUUCCGGUGUAGCGGUGAAAUGCGUAGAUAUCGGAAGGAACAUCAGUGGCGAAAGCGACUUCCUGGACCAAUACUGACGCUCAUGUGCGAAAGCGUGGGGAGCAAACAGG
rnacentral:rRNA from 1 species